UUCAGCGCUGGAUGGUCAGCCUUGAGGGACACAUCCUGUGUGAGGGGAUUCAACCCACGUUCUUGACGGGGCCUGCUGCCUUGUUUUCAACGUUCUACACCUUUAAUCUACAGUACCAAGAAGAGGCAGCAUGCACCCUCGAGUUCAUCCAGAGACGUUUCAUUGGAAUCAACCCUGAGAGAGGCAGCAAGACUGGCCGAGGCAAAGUGGUAUCCAAGAAAACGGGCAAAGUUACAACCAAGAAGAGCACAACUGUCAACCCACGUGUCCACUCUGCUAAAGAGACUAAUGGAUUUGGAGUGGGACUUUCCCUCUUAUUGUUACCCACGUUCAUCCUUCAUCUCUCUCCCUGUCUGAACACAUCUUUUCUUGUCUCUUUCUCUGAUAUUUUCUAUUCUCUCAAUCAUUCACUCAUGACAUCUCAGUCUUACACCUUGUAUUUGUUUUGUCAUUCUUUAUGUGUUGUGUUCUGUUUCUGAAACUAUAUGAUCUAUUUGGAUGUUAAAGGUUGGAAUGUUAUGGUUUGCUGAGGUGUUAGUUCAUGGCUUGGGACAUUUUAAAAUAGGGGGAAUGAGGGGCAGCAAUGUUAAAUUUGUAUGGAAGAAGUUGCUAGUAUAAGUUAUUUUGGAGCUGAUCCCCCCCUGUUUUUAACAUG